GACGAACGCUGGCGGCGUGCUUAACACAUGCAAGUCGAACGGAAAGGCCCUGCUUUUGUGGGGUGCUCGAGUGGCGAACGGGUGAGUAACACGUGAGUAACCUGCCCUUGACUUUGGGAUAACUUCAGGAAACUGGGGCUAAUACCGGAUAGGAUCUCCUGCUGCAUGGUGGGGGUUGGAAAGUUUCGGCGGUUGGGGAUGGACUCGCGGCUUAUCAGCUUGUUGGUGGGGUAGUGGCUUACCCAGGCUUUGACGGGUAGCCGGCCUGAGAGGGUGACCGGCCACAUUGGGACUGAGAUACGGCCCAGACUCCUACGGGAGGCAGCAGUGGGGAAUAUUGCACAAUGGGCGGAAGCCUGAUGCAGCAACGCCGCGUGCGGGAUGACGGCCUUCGGGUUGUAAACCGCUUUCGCCUGUGACGAAGCGUGAGUGACGGUAAUGGGUAAAGAAGCACCGGCUAACUACGUG
rnacentral:rRNA from 1 species